rnacentral:rRNA from 1 species
ACGAACGCUGGCGGCGUGCUUAACACCUGCAAGUCGAACGGUGAAGCGCCUUCCUUUUUGGUGGGUGUGGAUGAGUGGCGAACGGGUGAGUAACACGUGAGUAACCUGCCCCCUUCUUCUGGAUAACCGCAUGAAAGUGUGGCUAAUACGGGAUAUUCUGGGUCUGUCGCAUGAUGGGUCUGGGAAAGAUAUUGUUUCGGUGGGGGAUGGGCUCGCGGCCUAUCAGCUUGUUGGUGGGGUGAUGGCCUACCAAGGCGGUGACGGGUAGCCGGCCUGGGAGGAUGGACGGUCACACUGGGACUGAGACACGGCCCAGACUCCUACGGGAGGCAGCAGUGGGGAAUAUUGCACAAUGGGCGCAAGCCUGAUGCAGCGACGCCGCGUGAGGGAUGGAGGCCUUCGGGUUGUGAACCUCUUUCGCCAGUGAAGCAGGCCUGCCUCGUUUGUGGGUGGGUUGACGGUAGCUGGAUAAGAAGCGCCGGCUAACUACGUG